rnacentral:lncRNA from 1 species
CCGCGCUCGGAGCUCGGAGCUCGGAGCUCGCAGCUCGCUUCGCCCUGCGCCUCUGUCGCCGCCGCCGCUGCCACCGCCACCCGCACACCCUUGGCGCGUCCACGCACCGCUCCGCUCCUUGCAGCCGGCACAGAGUGCGCUUAUCGCUCGUUCAGGGCAGAGUAUCCCCGUUGCAGCCCCUCGGCGAUGGCCACCAAGAUCGACAAAGAGGCUUGCCGGACGGCGUAUAACCUGGUGCGCGACGACAGCUCGGCCGUCAUCUGGGUGACUUUUAAAUACGACGGCUCCACCAUCGUCCCCGGCGAGCAGGGAGCGGAAUAUCAGGACUUCAUCCAACAAUGCACAGAUGACGUCCGAUUGUUUGCCUUCGUGCGCUUCACCACCGGGGAUGCCAUGAGCAAGAGGUCCAAGUUUGCCCUCAUCACCUGGAUUGGCGAGAACGUCAGCGGGCUGCAGCGCGCCAAGACGGGCACCGACAAGACCCUGGUGAAGGAAGUGGUGCAGAAUUUCGCCAAAGAGUUUGUGAUCAGUGAUCGGAAGGAGCUGGAGGAAGAUUUUAUCAAGAGCGAGCUCAAGAAGGCCGGGGGUGCCAAUUAUGACGCCCAGACGGAGUAACCCCCGCACCCCGCGCCUUGCCAAAGUCAUCUGCCUGCUCCCCGGGGGAGGGGACCGCGGCCUCAGCUACCAGCCCAUCAGCCCACCAGGGAGAGGAGACGCGAUGAGAGGCAACGCCCGCCACCCCGUCCGCAACCCAGCUCCCCUCCCCGCUUCCCCUUGUGCACCUGCUGUGUCCCGUCCCAUGAAGCUCAUGGAACAUCUUUCUUUGCUUUUUUUUCUUUUCUCCCCCUGACCCCUUUCUUGUUCUAAACAAAAAUCAUUUGGAUGCCAAGGUCACGCACAUCACCAGAUCGGAGGUGCCUCCUGCGGUGACCCUCUCCUGGCAUUUCUUAACGCACAGGCAGCCUGCCCGGCCUGACCCAUCAACCUCGCGUCGCUUCUGGCGCCUGGGCCAGUGUCGCUCUCUUGUUUUCUUUUUUUUUGGCGCCCGCCUGCUUCCCACGGAGGAGGCAGCCACGUGGGGAGCCCGUCCUCAUCGUGCCCUUGUCGAGCCCCGCUGGCCAGGCUCACACCUCCAGGAGUCCCUCCGGAGGCCCCCCCACCCCCCACCUCCAUUCCAAGUUGCCUAAGCUCCAUGUCCAUCAGAGACGGUGCUCGGUGGAGAGAUGGGCAGCCCUGACUCAGACCGAAGGAGGAGAGAGGAAAAUCUGCCACCCGUCAGAAGCGGCCCGUUCCCCAGCCUUGGGAUGGCGCUCUCGGGAUGGCGGGGGGUGGGGGCAGAGGUCUGAGUCCAGAUUCGACGGGAGGUGCUCAGGGCUCACAUCCUCGGGCUCCCCAAGUGACGAGGACAUUAGGGGUGCAGAAUGGGCAUUUAGGUCAAAGCGGUCCUCUGCACGACAGCACAGACAGCAGGGGACAGAGGCUCCCUGCUCCGUCACGGUCACCACAGCUGUGUGUGCAGCGCCCCCCCCCACUGGGGGGGGGAACCAGAAAGUCUAUGGUUUUAAUCCUCGGUGGCACCUCACACAAAAAGGAUUUUUUUUUUUUUCAAAGAAAGAUGAGGUUGGCUUGGUUCUUCAUGCCCAUGUUAGGUAGGGCUCUUUUUCUCUUUUCCUUGCUCGUUUCGUCGGGGGACGUCUGUGCUGUGCUGGGGUGGUGAAGGCAUCUGCACUCAAAACGGUUUACAGAAAUAAAUUUUUGUUUUGUUUUGUUUUUCAAAAAACAAGGCUGUCCGAUUUGUCUUAGAAAGCAUCUCGCCUUACUGGAAAAAACCAAGGCGGUUUUCCUAUUCAUGUUUAAUUGGCAUUUUCAGAGCUCUGGGGGGCUGGACGUAUUCACAUUCAGGGGCUUGUUUCAUUUUUAGCAACAACCGAAAGACACAGGGGCUGUUUGUAUCCUUGGCUUAUGGAAACGGAGGCUCCGGGAAACCCAGUGAUUCACCUGAGGCCACCCAGCUAGAAGGUGGCAGAGCUGGGAUCCGAACUCGGGUCCCCCGGUGGCCCUGGCACUGGAGCUCGUGAGGGAGAUGGAGAGGCCCUCGACUGGAGGCAGGGAGGAGACAGCAGGCAUGUGAUGGGGGUCAGAACCCUCCGCCCCGAGUGUUCGGGGGGAACUGGGAGGAAUUGUCCCGAGCUGGGCUGUGACAUCCUUUCUGAGGUUGUCCUAGAGCUUGAAAAUGGGAUUUCCAGCACGCCAGCCCCAGUGGGAAUGCAGAAUCAGGCCGGAGGAGUUUCAGAGGCACAGCCAGGUUUGGAGAAGCUGCGAGGGGGCGGGGAGGGUUCGGGGAGAGGAUAGAAACCCAAAUUGGGGGACAAAGGAAUCCUGUAGGGCGUGGGCAAGGCCAAGGUCACCCACUGUCGGCCACGCCCCUCUGCUCAUAGCUGUGUGGCUCUGGGCAAGUUACUUAACUUCUCUGGGCUCCCGUGGAAUCAGUGGCAAUAACUGCCUACUGUGACAGGUCGGAAGGCUUGAGGCGCAGCAAGGAUUAUGUGGGUGCCCAACAGGGCUCAGUCCUCAUCUCAUCAGGCCUGUCACUAGGUCUUGGGGACUCUGGGUGCCCCAGUUUUUUUUUCCUGUGCCUAGACCAGAGGGAGCCAAACUGGGUCUCUGCCUUCCUGGCCUUUGGGCUUUUUGCUUUCAGAGAACUUGGGACAAUUAGAGAUGUAGAUAAGUCCCCUUGGGAAGAAAAGCCAGAUUCUCUGGGAAAAAAAUUACAAAGGGCCUGGGCCUGGUAAGGGCCAUCCAGGAGGGCUUCCCUGAGGAGGUGACAGAGAAGCAGGCAAAGGGCUGGAGGGACAAGCAGACCAGGGACAAAGUCUGUGGGCAGGUUUGCGGAGGGUGGCGCUGGGUUUGUGUGUCAAGGAGCAUUUUUUUUUUUAAUUUUAAAAAUAAAGUAUAGUUGAUUUACAGUAUUGUGUCAAUUUCUGUUGGACAGUGAGGUGACCCAGUGCCACAUAAAUACGUAUAUUCCCUUUCUUGGAUUGUCUUCCAUCGUGUUGUAUCCAAAGGGACUGGAUGUAGUUCCGAGGGCUGUACAGCCAGACCUCACUGCUUAUCAUUCUAAAUGUUACAGUUUGCAUGACUAACCCCAAGCGCCCUGUCCACCCCGACUCCCUCCCUUCUCCCCCCUUGGCGGCCACAAGUCUCAAGGAGCUUGGUUUUAAUCGAAAGCUGCAGCUCAGGCCUUUGCUGGGAUUUCUGAAAGCGCCUGAUGGGAUCUCAGGUCUUCAAGGGCAGAAAGUCCUUGCCUUUAUCUCUUUAUCCCCUGGAGCUAGCAUCUAGCACGUGUCUGGUCGUGUUGCCUGGAGCUGCCUCCACCUGCUCCUGUCCCUGCCCAAGGCCUGGAUGCCUGUCUGGCCUCCCUCAGGGGCUGGCAGGGGCUGGGGGCUCUGGAGACGGGCAUCUCCUUGCUCACAAGUGGUCUUUCAGCAGCUGGUCGAGCCCACCCCCAAACGAUGGUGUGAAACGGCCACCAUGUUGAUUUUGGGGGACAGGGAUCUAGGAAAUGCUGGGGGAGCUGAUUCUUACAGGCAGGAGCUCUGCGUUGGUCAGAUCGCCUGGGCUGGAUGCCCAAGCCCACUGGGCCCGCAGCUGAUGGGCUGUGGAUCGACAGGGUCAAGGCCAGGACCUCCCUAUGCGACAGCCGGCUUCCCCAGGGUGAGCAUCCCAGAGGACGAAAGUGAGGCUACCUGGCCUUCGCUGACCCAGCCUCUGGAGUUACAGAGCAGCAUUUCUGCUGGGGGGCGGGGGGGGGGAUUGAUCAUGAGUCCCCACACUCGAGGGGAGGGGACAUUGACCCCCAUCUUUCGGUAGAAGAAGUGCCAAGUCAUGGGACCUACUUUUUUUUUGUCUUUCUAGGGCCACACCCGUGGCAUACGGAGGUUCCCAGGCUAGGGGUCUAAUUGAAGCUGUAGCCGCCAGCCUACGCCAGAGCCACGGCAACGCCAAAUCUGAGCCAUGUCUGUGACCUACACCACAGCUCAUGGCAACACUGGAUCCUUAACCCACUGAGGAAGGCCAGGGAACAAACCUGCAUCCUCAUGGAUGCUAGUCAGAU